rnacentral:rRNA from 1 species
AGUCGAGCGCACCUUCGGGUGAGCGGCGGACGGGUUAGUAACGCGUGGGAACAUACCCUUUGGUACGGAAUAGCCUCUGGAAACGGAGAGUAAUACCGUAUGAGCCCUUCGGGGGAAAGAUUUAUCGCCAAAGGAUUGGCCCGCGUUAGAUUAGGUAGUUGGUGGGGUAAUGGCCUACCAAGCCUACGAUCUAUAGCUGGUUUUAGAGGAUGAUCAGCAACACUGGGACUGAGACACGGCCCAGACUCCUACGGGAGGCAGCAGUGGGGAAUCUUGGACAAUGGGGGCAACCCUGAUCCAGCCAUGCCGCGUGAGUGAUGAAGGCCUUAGGGUCGUAAAGCUCUUUCGCCUGUGAAGAUAAUGACGGUAGCAGGUAAAGAAACCCCGGCUAACUCCGUGCCAGCAGCCGCGGUAAUACGGAGGGGGUUAGCGUUGUUCGGAAUUACUGGGCGUAAAGCGCACGUAGGCGGACUGGAAAGUUGGGGGUGAAAUCCCAGGGCUCAACCCUGGAACUGCCUCCAAAACUAUCAGUCUAGAGUUCGAGAGAGGUGAGUGGAAUUCCGAGUGUAGAGGUGAAAUUCGUAGAUAUUUCGGAGGAACACCAGUGGCGAAGGCGGCUCACUGGCUCGAUACUGACGCUGAGGUGCGAAAGUGUGGGGAGCAAACAGGAUUAGAUACCCUGG